UCGGGCAGUUCUCUUUUUAACAGCGGGCGGGGGUUAGAAAAUUUUCUAGGGUUCGAUGGUGUGAGAGGAAAGGGGGCGACUUUGAUCCAGAGUAAGGCGACCAAGAGAGGGCGGUGAUUGUCGGCUGCCGGGGUAUGUCGUCGUCAUCGAUUGGUUCCGCCUGUUCACGCGGCAAAGCGAUUCAACGGAGAGGCGUUGAUGCUAGAUAGCCGGUGCCGUAUCGUGAGCAAGUAUGCUCUGUUCUUCUGUGUGCUGUGCUGUGUCCUCCUCUGUUCUGUUCAGUUUCUUUGUCUUAUAAACUUCUGUCUUUUGAACAACAUGGGUUCAUAAAGUGGCACGACGACCCAACAUCUCCAUUCCUACGUGUAUUGCUGGGAGAUCUUUGAGAUAGGGUAUGGAAGCUAGAGGAUGAUGAUGCAACAUUAUCUACAGAUGGAGAUGUAGUUCCUGACGCAUUGUGUGUGGAAAUGCAGAAGAAAAGAGAACAAACUGCAUGAGAUGGUGGAGCUGGUGCAUCAGAUAGAGACAAUUUAGUUAGGAAAGGGUUGAUGCUCGUGUGUGACAUUCUGAUAUUUGUGUGAGGUUUAAUUCUAGGGAUGAUCUUUUCCUAGUCCAUUUGCUACAAAUGGAUGUGAGGUCAAGUAGUGUAUUUUGUCACAAAAUGUAUUGAAUGAAAUUCAGUUUGCAAAAUUUGCCAGGCAAUGUAUUGAAUUCAGUUUGCACAAAUUUCAGGCAAUGUACUGAAUUCAGUUUGGAAAAAUUGUGAGGAAAUGUACUGAAUUUUCAACAAACAGCAUACUCGAUUCACUUUGCAAAGAUUUCAGGAA
rnacentral:lncRNA from 1 species